CAGCAGCCGCGGUUAUUCUAAGGCGCUUGAGAGAACUCAGGAGAAGGAACUCGGCAAAUUGACACCGUAACUUCGGAAGAAGGUGUGCCUUUAGUAGGUGAAGUCCCUGCGGAUGGAGCCCAAUGAGGUUGCAAAAAAUCGGUGGCUGCGACUGUUUAAUAAAAACACAGCACUCUGCAAACACGAAAGUGGACGUAUAGGGUGUGACGCCUGCCCGGUGCUGGAAGAUUAAAUGAUGGGGUGCAAGCUCUUGAUUGAAGUCCCAGUAAACGGCGGCCGUAACAAUAACGGUCCUAAGGUAGCGAAAUUCCUUGUCGGGUAAGUUCCGACCUGCACGAAUGGCGUAACGAUGGCCGCACUGUCUCCUCCUGAGACUCAGCGAAGUUGAAAUGUUUGUGAUGAUGCAAUCUCCCCGCGGAAAGACGGAAAGACCCCAUGAACCUUUACUGUAGCUUUGUAUUGGACUUUGAACAGAUCUGUGUAGGAUAGGUGGGAGGCUUUGAAGCAGGGUCGCUAGAUCUUGUGGAGCCAACGUUGAAAUACCACCCUGGUGUGUUUGAGGUUCUAACCUAGGUCCAUUAUCUGGAUCGGGGACAGUGCAUGGUAGGCAGUUUGACUGGGGCGGUCUCCUCCCAAAGUGUAACGGAGGAGUUCGAAGGUACGCUAGGUACGGUCGGACAUCGUGCUAAUAGUGCAAUGGCAUAAGCGUGCUUAACUGCGAGACUGACAGGUCGAGCAGAUGCGAAAGCAGGACAUAGUGAUCCGGUGGUUCUGUAUGGAAGGGCCAUCGCUCAACGGAUAAAAGGUACUCUGGGGAUAACAGGCUGAUACCGCCCAAGAGUUCAUAUCGACGGCGGUGUUUGGCACCUCGAUGUCGGCUCAUCUCAUCCUGGGGCUGUAGCCGGUCCCAAGGGUAUGGCUGUUCGCCAUUUAAAGAGGUACGUGAGCUGGGUUUAAAACGUCGUGGGACAGUUUGGUCCCUAUCUUCCGUGGGCGCUGCAGAUUUGAGGAAGCCUGCUCCUAGUACGAGAGGACCGGAGUGGACGCACCUCUGGUGUAUCGGUUGUCACGCCAGUGGCAUUGCCGAGUAGCUAAGUGUGGAAGAGAUAACCGCUGAAAGCAUCUAAGCGGGAAACUCGUUUCAAGAUGAGAUCUGCCGGGGCCUUGAGCCCCCUAAAGAGUCGUUCAAGACCAGGACGUUGAUAGGUCAGGUGUGGAAGCGCAGUAAUGCGUUAAGCUAACUGAUACUAAUUGCUCGUGUGGCUUGACCGA
rnacentral:rRNA from 1 species